rnacentral:rRNA from 1 species
UCAAGCGAAGAAGAGCGCAGGGUGGAUGCCUUGGCACUAAGAGCCGAUGAAAGACGUGAUAAGCUGCGAUAAGCUGCGGUAAGGAGCAAAUAUCCAUUGACCCGCAGAUUUCUGAAUGGGGAAACCCACAUGAGAACACCUCAUGUAUCCAUACGCCAAUCCAUAACGUAUGGAGGGGAACCCGGUGAACUGAAACAUCUAAGUAGCCGGAGGAAGAGAAAGAAACAAUCGAUUCCGUAAGUAGCGGCGAGCGAACGCGGAAGAGCCCAAACCAUGGUGCGUGCACCAUGGGGUUCGGACUGCAUAAUUGAUCUGAAGAGCUUAGCAGAAUGGUUUUGGGAAAGCCAGCCGGAGAGGGUGAAAGCCCCGUAAGCGAAAAGUGAUUCAGCAUGGCAGUAUCCAGAGUACAUCGAGACACGUGGAACCUUGAUGGAAGGAGCGGGGACCACCCCGUAAGGCUAAAUACUACUUAGUGACCGAUAGCGCAUAGUACUGUGAAGGAAAGGUGAAAAGGACCCCGGGAGGGGAGUGAAAGAGAACCUGAAACCCUGUGUUUACAAACUGUCGAAGGGCUUUAUAUGCCCGACGGCGUACUUUUUGUAGAACGGUCCGGCGAGUUGUGCAUACUGGCAAGGUUAAGGGAUGAAGUCCCGGAGCCGCAGGGAAACCAAGCCUUAAUAGGGCGCGUCAGUCAGUGUGUGCAGACCCGAAACCGGGUGACCUAUCCAUGUCCAGGUUGAAGUUGCCGUAAAAGGCAAUGGAGGACCGAACGCACAUCCGUUGAAAAGGGUGGCGAUGAGGUGUGGAUAGCGGAGAAAUUCCAAUCGAACCCGGAGAUAGCUGGUUCUCCUCGAAAUAGCUUUAGGGCUAGCCUCGUUUUAGUCUGGUGGAGGUAGAGCACUGAAUUCCCAAGGGGGCGUCAAAGCUUACUAAGGGAUAUCAAACUCCGAAUGCCAUACAGAUGAUGAACGGGAGUCAGACUAUACGAGAUAAGUUGGAUAGUCAAAAGGGAAAGAGCCCAGACCUGCAGCUAAGGUCCCAAAGUGCAUGUUAAGUGGAAAAGGAUGUGGGAUCUCUAAGACAACUAGGAUGUUGGCUCAGAAGCAGCCAUUCAUUCAAAGAGUGCGUAACAGCUCACUAGUCGAGAGGUCCUGCGCCGAAAAUGUCCGGGGCUAAAACAUGCCACCGAAGCUCAGGAAUGACAUAGUCAUUGGUAGAGGAGCAUUCUUAACGCGAAGAAGCAGUACCGUAAGGAGCUGUGGAGUGCUAAGAAGAGAGAAUGCCGGAAUGAGUAGCGAGAACAAGGUGAGAAUCCUUGUGGCCGAAUAUCCAAGGUCUCCAGGGUAAAGCUGAUCUGCCCUGGGAAAGUCGGGACCUAAGGUCAGGCUGAAAAGCGUAGCCGAUGGACAACAGGUUGAUAUUCCUGUACCGCAUGGUAACAGAACUGUGGGGACACGGGAGGGAAACAUGGGCCGGAAAUGGAAAGUCCGGUACAAGCGAGGUAGUCGCACAGCAGGCAAAUCCGCUGUGCAUAAGACGAAGCCGUGAUGUGGAGCGAAAUGAAGUAGCGAAGCAUGUGCCCCCUCCUGUCGAGAAAAGCCGCUAUUGUUUGCCAUGCGCCCGUACCGUAAACCGACACAGGUGGAUGAGGAGAGAAUCCUAAGGCCGGCGGGAGAAGCAUUGUCAAGGAACUCGGCAAAAUGACCCCGUAACUUCGGGAGAAGGGGUGCCCACGCAAGUGGGCCGCAGAGAAUAGGCUCAAGCAACUGUUUAGCAAAAACACAGGUCUAUGCGAAACCGUAAGGUGAUGUAUAUGGGCUGACGCCUGCCCGGUGCUGGAAGGUUAAGAGGAGAGGUUAGCGCAAGCGAAGCUUUGAAUCCAAGCCCCAGUAAACGGCGGCCGUAACUAUAACGGUCCUAAGGUAGCGAAAUUCCUUGUCGGGUAAGUUCCGACCCGC